rfam:Stomoxys calcitrans breed 8C7A2A5H3J4 unplaced genomic scaffold Scaffold768, whole genome shotgun sequence.
CUUUUUAUGAUGAAAAUGUUAAUCUGAAUUAAGUUCGUGCUGAUCACACAUUCAAAAUAAACCAAAAGGAUUCUGAAUCUAAAAG